CCUACGGGAGGCAGCAGUGGGGAAUAUUGCACAAUGGGCGCAAGCCUGAUGCAGCCAUGCCGCGUGUGUGAAGAAGGCCUUCGGGUCGUAAAGCACUUUCAGCGGGGAGGAAGGCGGUGAGGUUAAUAACCUCAUCGAUUGACGUUACCCGCAGAAGAAGCACCGGCUAACUCCGUGCCAGCAGCCGCGGUAAUACGGAGGGUGCAAGCGUUAAUCGGAAUUACUGGGCGUAAAGCGCACGCAGGCGGUCUGUCAAGUCGGAUGUGAAAUCCCCGGGCUCAACCUGGGAACUGCACUCGAAACUGGCAGGCUAGAGUCUUGUAGAAGGGGGUAGAAGUCCAGGUGUAGCGGUGAAAUGCGUAGAGAUCUGGAGGAAUACCGGUGGCGAAGGCGGCCCCCUGGACAAAGACUGACGCUCAGGUGCGAAAGCGUGGGGAGCAAACAGGAUUAGAUACCCUUGUAGUC
rnacentral:rRNA from 1 species